AUUGAACGCUGGCGGCAGGCCUAACACAUGCAAGUCGAGCGGAGCGGCGGACGGGUGAGUAAUGUAUGGGGAUCUGCACGAUAGAGGGGGAUAACUGCUGGAAACGGUGGCUAAUACCGCAUACUGUCGGAUGAACCCAUAUGGGAUUAGCUAGUAGGUGGGGUAAAGGCACACCUAGGCGACGAUCUCUAGCUGGUCUGAGAGGAUGAUCAGCCACACUGGGACUGAGACACGGCCCAGACUCCUACGGUAGGCAGCAGUGGAGAAUAGUGGACAAGGGGCGAAAGCCUGAUCCAGCCAUGCCGCGUGUGUGAAGAAGGUCUUCGGAUUGUAAAGCACUUUACUUUGGGAGGCGUUACCAACAGAAUAAGCACCGGCUAACUUCGUGCCAGCAGCCGCGGUAAUUC
rnacentral:rRNA from 1 species